CUCAUUGUUUUGAGUUAUUUUAGUGCCAUUUCUUAAAAUCAUUGGUAGUUUUUGGCAAAUAUAUAUCUGGGUUUAAACACAAUCUAAGAAGUUCCUUUUAAGACAUGAAAUUGGUUAUAAAGUGAGUUGAGUUGAGAUUUAAGAAUAUGUGACUGCAAUGGGAACUUAUGCAGAUUGAAGGGUAUUGGGAAUAUAACAAGUUCUAUGAAGAAGGAGUUUACAAUUGUGCUGGGUGUGCAACUCCUCUUUACAAGUCUUCCACUAAAUUUGACUCUGGUUAUGGUUGGCCUGCUUUCUUUGAGGGUUUACUUGGUGCCAUCAAUCGCUCACCAGACCCAUAUGGGAGGAGGACUGAGAUAACUUGUGCAGCAUGUGGUGGCCAUUUGGGUCAUGUUUUCAAAGGAGAGGGGUUCAAGACACCCACUGAUGAACGCCAUUGUGUUAAUAGUGUUUCCUUUAAGUUUAUUCCAGCUAAUUCUGCUGCUUAACCAUUAUGGCCUAUGUGUUGAAAAUUGAGAGAGCCUUGUGUUUCCUUUCUCAUUUGUUCUCCCAUUUGAUAGGUUGAUGCUGAGAGAGUCUAUCAUCGAAAUGCCCUUGUCAUUCUAGAGAAACUGUAUACUGAGGUAAAAAAUUCUGGAACUUGUUCCAUAUGCAACCUAUGCGUGACCAGAAGAGAGAAGUACAGUAUUUUAUUGGUGUUCAACUCGACGAUAGCCAACAUGUGGAGCCUCUUCACAACUGCAUCACAGAAAAUACUGCAAAAGAAGGAGAACAACUGAUCCUGGACAGUGGAGAACAGGUUUUGUAGAUCCUUGGUUUUGAUGACAAAUUUCUGCAUGUUCACUAUGGUAAGAAAAAGAAUUGUUUGUUAUUUUUUUGGUUUCUAAUCUUAAUUUUGUAAUGUUUAUAGUGCUGAAAA